rnacentral:tRNA from 1 species
ACUCGGAUAGCUCAGAAGGAAGAGCAGUUGACUUGUAAUCAAAAGGUCCGGGUUCGAGUCCCGGUCCGAGCU